rnacentral:rRNA from 1 species
UACGGAGGGUGCGAGCGUUGUCCGGAAUCAUUGGGCGUAAAGGGCGCGUAGGUGGCCCCUCAAGCGUGCGGUGAAAGUCAGGGGCUCAACCCCUGAUCGGCCGUGCGAACUGGGGAGCUUGAGCACUGUAGAGGCAGGCGGAAUUCCGGGUGUAGCGGUGGAAUGCGUAGAGAUCCGGAAGAACACCGGUGGCGAAGGCGGCCUGCUGGGCGAGUUUUGCUG